GCUCCCCUGGGCACUUGACUUCCACCCUCAGAAACAGGGACAGUUUCUGGAGAGCCUUUGCUGAGGAGCCAGGGUUCUAGAGAGAGCUGUGAAUGGGGGAAGUGUUGUGCUGACUGUUUUUCUAGGAUUCUUAGUAAUGUCUCAGUUUUCAAAGGCAGGGAACUGGCCUGUGUGACUUCCCAUGCUUUGGAGUAAAGCUUCCUAGUUGUACCCAGGCUGACGGUGUAGUUUUCGAUCCUCUGGAGGAGUGUGUGGGGAGCCAGUCCAGACACUGUGACAGUCAUUCCUUCAGGCUUGCUGUGUAAUCACGAUUGACAUCUGUCUGUCACUCCUUCAAGGCUGACAGAGCACUUGCCUAGCAUAUGGAAGGCUCUGGAUUUGAUCCUCUGAACUACACACCAAGAAAAAGGCUCUGAAAAUGAUGCAAGGUCGAGCAAUGUGUCUCUGCAGGUAAACCUGCUGGCUGCACAGACUGGAGAUCUGAGUUCAAUCCAAGAACACCAUGAAAAGGGGAACACAGUGGCAUGCCUUUGGAAUCCCAACACAGGGAAUCACCUGGGAGCUGAAGGGCUAGAUAACCUGGAGGACCCAGCAUGGAAACGAAUACAGGGGAGAUCUCAUCACAAGUUGGAAGAAAAAAACUGACUUUCAGAAAUUAUCCUGUGAUCUACACACACACACACACACACACACACACACACACACACACAC